rnacentral:rRNA from 1 species
UACAGAGGGGGCAAGCGUUAUUCGGAAUUAUUGGGCGUAAAGGGCGCGUAGGCGGCCUGGCAAGUGGAAGGUGAAAUCCCUCGGCUUAACCGAGGAACUGCCCUCCAAACUGCUUGGCUUGAGUCCGGGAGAGGUGAGUGGAAUUCCCAGUGUAGCGGUGAAAUGACGUAGAUAUUGGGAGGAACACCAGUGGCGAAGGCGGCUCACUGGACCGGAACUGACGCUGAGGCGCGAAAGCGUGGGAGCAACGGGG